rnacentral:rRNA from 1 species
AUGCAAAGUAAGCAUGUGAGUGUUAAUUACCUGUCGCUUACCCGAAUUCGGAGCUCUCCAGGAGCGUUCGCAGAUCUUCCUCGCAGCGUGUCCGAUGCUGCCGCAUUCUACCUGGCCAAGGAGGGGAGCUCGACGGAGAAGGUCUUCUGGUCUCAGUAUGCUGAGGCCGAACAUCUGAUGCCCCUUAGCGACCAGCUGAAGCAGCUGGUCGAGCUCCACAAGGCGGCCGAACAAGCCAUGAAGGGCCUCAUAGUUCGGCUGUGGCCUAAGGAGGCUAUACCUGGGAGCUACUUCGGCCUGGUGCGGCGGCUGGUGGACGCGUGCCCGUGGUUUGAAGUUAUCAAGCACUCCACCUGUAUUGAGGGUGCGCGUCGGGCCCUUGCCCGCGCAAAGGUGCACUGGGGCAAGAUGGAUGCCCAGAAGCUUGUGACGGACCCCCCACCAGAGGGCAAGGAGCAUCGCACGCCCGAGAUGUAUUAUAGGAGUGUGCUGAAGGGCGCCCGCAUUAUUGCGGGUGAGUGCUCCAAAGAAGAAGUUUUUGAGUAG